UGGGGAAUUUUGGGCAAUGGGCGAAAGCCUGACCCAGCAACGCCGCGUGAAGGAUGAAGUAUUUCGGUAUGUAAACUUCGAAAGAAUAGGAAGAAUAAAUGACGGUACUAUUUAUAAGGUCCGGCUAACUACGUGCCAGCAGCCGCGGUAAUACGUAGGGACCAAGCGUUGUUCGGAUUUACUGGGCGUAAAGGGCGCGUAGGCGGCAUGACAAGUCACUUGUGAAAUCUCUGGGCUUAACCCAGAACGGCCAAGUGAUACUGUCGCGCUAGAGUGCAGAAGGGGCAAUCGGAAUUGACGGUGUAGCGGUGAAAUGCAUAGAUAUCGUCAAGAACACCGAUAGCGAAGGCAGCUUACCAAGCUGUAACUGACACUGAGGCACGAAAGUGUGGGGAUCAAACAGGAUUAGAUACCCCUGUAGUCCCUGAGCGGGCUGGCAAGGCGCAU
rnacentral:rRNA from 1 species